rnacentral:lncRNA from 1 species
GAUGAGAACCAUUGGAAGGUUGUAAAGACCAUCCUUAAGUAUUUGAGAAAUACUAAGGACCAGUGACUUAUAUAUGGAGAAUCAAAUUUAAAAUUUGUGGGAUUUAUAAAUCCUAGUUUUCAAUCGGAUCAUGAGGACAGUAAGUAUGUCAGAAAAUAUUUAUAUCAUAAAUGGUGGAGCAAUCUAUUGGAAGAGUUUCAAGCAACACACUAUGGUCGA